rnacentral:rRNA from 1 species
GAUGAACGCUGGCGGCGUGCCUAAUACAUGCAAGUCGAGCGAACAGACGAGGAGCUUGCUCCUCUGACGUUAGCGGCGGACGGGUGAGUAACACGUGGAUAACCUACCUAUAAGACUGGGAUAACUUCGGGAAACCGGAUCUAAUACCGGAUAAUAUAUUGAACCGCAUGGUUCAAUAGUGAAAGACGGUUUUGCUGUCACUUAUAGAUGGAUCCGCGCCGCAUUAGCUAGUUGGUAAGGCAACGGCUUACCAAGGCGACGAUGCGUAGCCGACGUGAGAGGGUGAUAGGCCACACUGGAACUGAGACACGGUCCAGACUCCUACGGGAGGCAGCAGUAGGGAAUCUUCCGCAAUGGGCGAAAGCCUGACGGAGCAACGCCGCGUGAGUGAUGAAGGUCUUCGGAUCGUAAAGCUCUGUUAUUAGGGAAGAGCAAAUGUGUAAGUAACUAUGCACGUCUUGACGGUAACUAAUCAGAAAGCCACGGCUAACUACGUG